GGGGAUGUGGCUCAGUGGUAGAGCCUUUGUUUUGCACACAGAAGGUCCCAGGUUCAAUCCCCAGCAUCUCCA